ensembl:snRNA U6 U6 spliceosomal RNA
GUGCUCGCUUCAGCAGCGCAUAUCCUAAAAUUUGGAACGAUACAGAGAAGAUUAGCAUGGUCCCCGGGUAA